CCUAUAGCUCAGUUGGUUAGAGCACCUGACUCAUAAUCAGGUGGUCCACAGUUCGAGUCUGUGU
rnacentral:tRNA from 1 species